rnacentral:rRNA from 1 species
UGAGUACGAGAUGCUACGGCAUCGAAGCAGUCUAUGUCAUACUUCCAAGAAAAGCUUGCACUGUCAUAAACAAAGAAUGCCUGUACCAUAACCGACACAGGUGGGUAGGUAGAUUUACUAAGGGGCGCGAGAUAACUCUCUCUAAGGAACUCGGCAAAAUGACUCCGUAACUUCGGGAGAAGGAGUGCCUUAUUUAUAAGGUUGCAAUAACAAGAUCCAAGCAACUGUUUACCAAAAACACAGGUCUCCGCGAAGUCGUAAGACGAUGUAUGGGGGCUGACGCCUGCCCAGUGCCAGAAGGUUAAAGAAGUUGGUUAGCAUUCGCGAAGCUGAUAACUGAAGCCCUGGUGAACGGCGGCCGUAACAAUAACGGUCCUAAGGUAGCGAAAUUCCUUGUCGGGUAAGUUCCGACCCGCACGAAAGGCGUAAUGAUUUGGAUACUGUCUCGGAGAGGGGCUCGGUGAAAUAGACUUGUCUGUGAAGAUGCGGACUACCUGCACCUGGACAGAAAGACCCUAUGAAGCUUUACUGUAACUUGAAAUUGAAAUUGGACUUUAUUUGCGCAGUAUAGGUGGGAGGCGUUGAGAAUAAUCUUGCGGGGUUAUUGGAGCCAUCAGUGAGAUACCACUCUUGUAAUGUUAGAUUUCUAACUUUGUAUCAUUAUCUGGUCAAAGAACAGUUUCAGGCGGGCAGUUUGACUGGGGCGGUCGCCUCCCAAACGGUAACGGAGGCGCACAAAGGUUUCCUCUGAACGGGUAGAAAUCGUAUCUAGAGUGUAAAGGCAUAAGGAAGCUUGACUGUGAGACCUACAAGUCGAGCAGGGACGAAAGUCGGUCUUAGUGAUCUGACGGUGCUGAGUGGAAAGGCCGUCACUCAACGGAUAAAAGUUACUCUAAGGAUAACAGGCUGAUCUCCCCCAAGAGUUCACAUCGACGGGGAGGUUUGUCACCUCGAUGUCGGCUCAUCGCAUCCUGGGGCGGUAGUACGUCCCAAGGGUUGGGCUGUUCGCCCAUGAAAGCGGUACGCGAGCUGGGUUCAGAACGUCGUGAGACAGUUCGGUCCAUAUCCGGUGUAGGCGUUAGAAUAUUGAGAGGAGCCUUCUCUAGUACGAGAGGACCGAGAAGGACAUACCUCUGGUGUACCAGUUAUCGUGCCAACGGUAAACGCUGGGUAGCUAUGUGUGGAGUGGAUAACCGCUGAAAGCAUCUAAGUGGGAAGCCCACCUCAAGAUAAG